CAGAGAAUAGUUUAAUUAAAAUAUUAAUUUUGGAGAUUAGUGAUAAAAGAUUUUUUUUUCUCUGA
rnacentral:tRNA from 1 species